CCUACGGGAGGCUGCAGUGGGGAAUAUUGGACAAUGGGGGGAACCCUGAUCCAGCGACGCCGCGUGAGUGAAGAAGUAUUUCGGUAUGUAAAGCUCUAUCAGCAGGGAAGAAAGAAAUGACGGUACCUGACUAAGAAGCCCCGGCUAACUACGUGCCAGCAGCCGCGGUAAUACGUAGGGGGCAAGCGUUAUCCGGAUUUACUGGGUGUAAAGGGAGCGUAGACGGCGAUGCAAGUCUGAAGUGAAAGGCGGGGGCACAACCCCCGGACUGCUUUGGAAACUGUAUGGCUGGAGUGCAGGAGAGGUAAGUGGAAUUCCUAGUGUAGCGGUGAAAUGCGUAGAUAUUAGGAGGAACACCAGUGGCGAAGGCGGCUUACUGGACUGUAACUGACGUUGAGGCUCGAAAGCGUGGGGAGCAAACAGGAUUAGAUACCCCUGUAGUC
rnacentral:rRNA from 1 species